UGGGAGAACUAAGAAAGAAAGGUGCUGGG
rnacentral:piRNA from 1 species